UGCCUUUGUGUUGCCCUUUCAUUGCAUCAGUCGUGAAAAGGGUGUCAACUAAGGCACACAUUGAUUCUUGCAGCUGUGGUGGAAAUUCAUCACCGAUGCAUUUUGAACACAUUCAGCUGCAAGCACAAAC